AUUGAACGCUGGCGGCAGGCCUAACACAUGCAAGUCGAGCGCACCAAGGAGGCUAGCUCCUGGUUUCAGCGCCGGACGCGUGAGUAAUGCCUAGACAUCUGCCACCUAGUCGUCGACAACGUCUGGCCAUGGGCACUAAUACCGCAUACCUCCUGAGGGUGCCAGUCGCGGAUCUUCGAACCUCACGCCGUCAUCGGCGCCUACGGCGGGUUAGCUAGUUGGUGGGGUAACGGCCUACCAAGGCUGCGACCCAUCGCUGGUGUGAGAGGGUGAUCGGUGACAAUGGGAAUUGGAAACGGCCCCAAAUCCUACGGGAGGCAGGAGUUGGGAAUAUUGGACAAUGGGCGAAAGCCUGAUCCAGCCAUGCCGCGUGUGUGAAGAAGGUCUUCGGAUUGUAAAGCACUUUAAUUUGGGAAGAAGGGCAGAAAGUUAAUACGUUACUGUUUUGACGUUACCAACAGAAUAAGCACCGGCUAACUUCGUG
rnacentral:rRNA from 1 species